UAAGUGCUUGGGAAUCUAGGCUUAUGGAGGGGAUAACUACGGGAAGACUGUAGCUAAUACCGCGUAGUAUCGAGAGAAUGAAAGUGUGGGACCUUCGGGCCACAUGCCAUAGGAUGAGCCCAAGUGGGAUUAGGUAGUUGGUGAGGUAAAGGCUCACCAAGCCGACGAUCUCUAGCUGGUCUGAGAGGAUGACCAGCCACACUGGGACUGAGACACGGCCCAG
rnacentral:rRNA from 1 species